UUUUUUCCUUAUAAAUUUUACAGAUUUUUAAAAAAGGAAACACAUUUAUUCUUCACCGGAAGAUACAAAUCGAAUCGGAGGAGAUCAGAAUCUAGGGUUCCUCUAUAUGUCAAUCAAUCUUCUUAGGUUCGUUGCUCGAACGAGAGGAAAUUGGUCGGCGGUGGAAGCUUGUCGUCGGGAAUUCCACUAAACCUAACUGAAUUUUUUUUUGUUCAUUAUACCGCAGUGGACCAACUAAACCGGCCAGAGCAGAGAGAGAAGAGCCAUCAUUGUUGUUGUUGCAGAGCGAGCUCGAAUCUUUCCCAAUGGUUCCUCGUGCUCGUCGGAGAAUCCUGCAGAAUUGUCAUGUCUCUCUCGCCUUAAUUCUAGUAAAUGUUCUUGUCUUCUUGUUUUUCUGGAUUGAUGUAGACUGACUUCAGACAGCCACUCUCUGUAACCGGAAAUCGAAACAGUGUCGCUAGUUUCUGUGUCGGAACGUUUUUGUUUGUGAUAAAAAGUUUUGCGAUUUUGAUGAUUUCUAAAGAAUCUAGAUUCGAUUCUGUGUUUAUUGUAGCGUAUCAGAAAAUACUAGAGAUUUGAAUUAAGAAGAAAAAGAAUGAAUUUAAUCCUCCAUUUUUUUUUGUACCUAUGUAUAUUACACGCGGAAUAUUCUAAAGGUUUGAAUCAAAGAGAGGGGAAAAAAACGAAGAAAGGAGAAAAAAAAUGAUGAUGAUAACACCAUCUAUCUCUUGUGAUGAAACACACUCUGAGCUCAAAUGCACAACAAUGUGUUAACAUUACACUUUUUCACUUUGUAAUGAACAUUUUUGGCUCUCUUUGAUCUCUAAAUAACCCCUGCUUUGUUUGUAUCUUCUCCUCUCCUAGUAACGAGUAAUGUGUUUAAUGUUUGUUUUUUUUUUGCCUCUACUCUUCUAAUGAAUGUCUUGAUGAACGGUACAGAUCAUACGGAGCCCAUAGAUGAUCAACGAUACAAGGCUUCCUUGAAUCUAGUCUCAACCAUGGCUUCCCUUUUCCGCUCCAAUGAAGUAGACUUAU
rnacentral:lncRNA from 1 species